UACGUAGGGAGCAAGCGUUGUCCGGAUUUACUGGGUGUAAAGGGCGUGCAGCCGGGCCUGUAAGUCAGAUGUGAAAUCCGUGGGCUUAACCCACGAACUGCAUUUGAAACUGCGGGUCUUGAGUACUGGAGAGGCAGACGGAAUUCCUAGUGUAGCGGUGAAAUGCGUAGAUAUUAGGAGGAACACCAGUGGCGAAGGCGGUCUGCUGGACAGUAACUGACGUUGAGGCACGAAAGUGUGGGGAGCAAACAGG
rnacentral:rRNA from 1 species